AACACAUCUUCUUCCUACGCCUCUAUCACAAACCCUACUAGCGAAAAUCCAACACCUCCAUCAUAAAUCAGUUUUCUUCGUUGCGAUUCCUACACCUUCCAUCACAAAUCAGUUUUCUUCAUUGCGAUUAGUGGAAACGCUCAAGAUUCCAACGAUUCGGCUUAGUAUUGUUUGUUCGGUCACAAUCUAGACAAGAAACCCUAAUUCCAUGGCGAUGCGGUUUAGGAACAAACAGAUCUGUGGAUAGAAUGCCCUAGCCGCCGCCUCCAGCAGUGAAGGCUAGGGUUUCGACAAGUUGAUCCUGAGCAAGUCCAGUUUUGAUGGUUGUAAGGCGUUGUUCAUCUCAGUUCAGGCUGAGGUAAACUUCUUAGGAAGGCUUUCACAUCCGAAUCUGGUGAAACUUUUGGGAUAUUGUUAUGAGGGAAAAGAGCUUUUACUUGUAUAUGAACUCAUGCAACGAGGCAACUUCGGAACCACCUUUUCGGAAGGGGGUCAACUGUUCAGCCGCUUCCAUGGGAUAUACGGCUUAAGAUUGCAAUAGGAGCAGCUUGUGAGCUGUCAUUUUUGCACACUUCGGAUAAGAAAGUUAUUUAUAGAGACUUUGAGGCAUCAAACAUAUUGCUUGAUGGGUCGUAUAAUGCAUAGCUAUCGGAUUUUGGGCUGGCUAAAUUAGCAUCGGCUAGCCAAUCGCAUGUGACCACACGGGUGAUAGGUACAUAUGGUUAUGUUGUUCCUGAAUAUGUUACCAUAGGUAAUCUUAAAUUCUUAAUCGUUUAAGCUUAAGGGCUAAAAGACAUUGCCAAACUGUUAAACAAUGGAGUAAACUUUCAAUUUGUUUGGUUAAAUCAUUAUUUACCAACAUUUGGAUGGUCAAUUUAGCUUUAAAGAUUGUUGAAUUUAGUUGUAAGUUUGUAAUGUUGACUUUUGGCAUCAUGAUUAGGUUAAAAUUGCAUCUUUUCGUGGUAAAUAUAGAUCCAAAAUUUGAGGUUUUAUGAUAUCAAAUCUUAUUUUUUUUAGACGUGUCUUCGUGUUACUGUGUUAUUGGUUGAAUUUAGUGUAAGGGUGUUUUUUUUGUUUAACACAAGAUUUAACCCAAACAUGUUUCGUUUAAAAACAGCUUGACCCGUUAACUGUUCAAAUAAUGUGCACCGAGGGAAAGGUAGUUUUAUAGCCAAGGCAAAUGUUGUUGAGGCUGCUGGGUGCUUCAGCAAUCAUUAUUAACAAUCGCACAUGUACAUUAUUAACAUGCAUAUUGUAUAUGUUAAUAAUGAAACUUGUCAAUAAAAAUACUAGCCUAUAAUGAAACGUGUCAAGUGGGUCGAAAUGGUUGAAAAGCCUCGAUUUUCCAUGGUUGAAAAUGCUUCGAUUGGUAGUAGACUUUCAUUGGUUCUUCCCCCGCCACAUUUACCCUUACCACAGCCAAUUUGGCAUCACUCGCCUCAUUCUAUUUGGUCCCAUCACACAAUGCCUCGCUUUGAACUGGUAAGUUAUAAUGGGGGGUGUUUGCAAUAUUCAGAGUUUAUUUGAUAAACAGAUUCUGAAUCUGAUUAUGAUUAUGAUUGCUUCUAUAUCACAUCACUGUUUCCAAAACACACAACCAAACCUCACUAGGUUUUGGGCGGGAAAAUGAAUGGGCAAAUGUGUUUUACCAUACCCGGAUUUUUAACCCGAUUAUAUGAAGUUUCUAGAAUACCAUCGAGUCGGGGUCUCAUUGGAAGCAGCCUCUCUAUUCCCCUUUGUUAUUUUUAAAGGUUUUUGGGAUGUUUAGGAUUGGACAACUGUUAAUUCCAUUAUCUGUUUUGUUGUUUGGAUUAUGGAUGGUUAGGUGAAUUUUACAUUUACCUCAAUAGUUAGUUUUCUUGCAGUUACUCGAUACUGUUGUCCCUAAAUCUGAUUGCUUUGACUCUAAUUAAUCAGGAAAUCAUAACCAGUUUAGAGUUUGACAGACAUUAAAAGUCAACACAUCUCCUUAUGCAUAAGGUACUGAUAUAGUUUUCAGUCCUUACGCGAUAAUGUACUUGUAUCGUGUAUUUAUUUGUUUAUGGUAUUGUGUAUUUAUUUGUUUAUGAAAUUAAUUCUGAUGGUUUAUAUGUGUGCCAUUGUAACUUUCAAUCCAAGUAAUCAUUAAAGAAACUAUUGUUUAUGUCCAGUUGUUGUAGAGGUCAGUUAACUACCCUCUGCAAAUAUUAUACCAUUAGUCAUAUUAUGCUAUAUGUUGGUACUUUAUUAAUAUUGGAAAUUUGUUUAGAUAAAAAAGGUUUUUUUUUUUUUUUGUGAACCAUGCAUGAAUGUAUCUAAUGUGUUUUGGGAGGCUGUUUCUACAGGUCAAAUUGUAUCAUUAUAUCAGUGUCUUGGAACAAAGAAUUUGCAAUCAUUUAUCGCACAAUUUGUGUACUUUCACGGAUAUAGUUAUUUUAAAAGGCUGUACCAGGUAAAAUAUAGUACAGAAUCAAUUGGAACAAAAGCAAAUUUUCUUCUUGCUGCUUCUGUCGGGGCAUGUACUGACAUCAUAACUCAGGUUAGAAAUUAUCGCCUUUUUUCUUUAGUUUUAUUUUUUGUUUUUGUGUUUCAAAUUAUACUUGCAAGGGGAUAUUUGGAUGUGCGGUUUCAAACUGAUUAUGUAACAUUAUAUAACCGGGAUCAGAUAACCAGGUUGGAUUAUGUGAUAUGCAUACACAACUAGGGGUGUCCAUCGGGUUUUUUCUUCGGGUUUCGGGUUUUUCGGGUCGGGUUGUUCGGGUUUUUGUCUAGGAAAAAUUAACCCAAUAACCGACCCAUUUAAAGUUCGGGUUAGUCGGUUUUGGGUUAUUUGGGUUCGGGUUAGUUCGGGUCGGGUUGUUCAGUUUUCGGGUUUCGAUGUAAAAUGAAAAAUUUAUGUUUUUUUACAAGAUAUCAUAAAAUUCAUAUUGCUACUUUAAAAAUAUCAUCAAAGUUCAAACAUUAUUUGACAAUAUGCUAUUAUAAUAUUUAAAAGUCCCAAAACUUGAUGUUUCAUAUAUUAAAGACUCAAAACCAAAACACUUUUAUAAGAAAAAAACAAUAAAUGUUCAGGUUUUUUGUCGGGUUUCGUGUUUCGGGUUUUUCGGGUCGUGUUGUUUGGGUUUUUGGUAGGGAAAAAGUGACCCGAUAACCGAACCAUUUAAAGUUCGGGUUGGUCGGGUUCGGGUUUCUCUGGUUCGGGUUUUUCAGAUAUUCGCUAAUUCGGGUUCGGGUGGCUUUGAAUUCGGGCCGGGUUUCGGGUUUUGGAUAAAAAUGAACAACCCUAUACACAACCUGAUUCUAUAAAUAGUUUCUUUUAAACUUUGUGGUUCACCACCUGACAAUUAUUGGAUUAAAUAAGGAUUGCCUCACUCAGUUAUGUUCAAAUCAAUCCAACCUUAUAAAAGACGCAUUCUAGAAGUCUUUUAAGAUUUCUUUCGAGCUACUAUUGGGCUUAUGGAGAGUUGGAGAAACUACUUACAAUGACAAAGAAGAACCGCAGUCUGUAGCUCUCGCUUCGAAGAAUGAUGCAGAAUUGAUGAAACUGGUGGAAAAAAGAGAGGAUAGUGAUGGGACAAUGGCACUGUCUGUUCAAGGGUUUAUUAGCAAGGUUUUGCAUGGAGUAGAUGGGUUUAUGAAUCUGGGUCUUUGGUAGGGUCUAAUGCAGGCGUUAGUGUGGUGUUUGAGACGAAAGGUUACCUUUUAGAAGCUGGUAAACCAUACUUCUCUGCUUAAUUGCUCCAUAAGUCCUUUUCAGAUUGUUUGUAAGUGUUGGUUGGCCAGAGGUAUAUGUUGCUCAAGAGGUACAAAAAGAUGGAUAUCUUUUGGAGGAAUAGGAGAACAAGGAAAUGCUAAAAAAUAGACCGCAUGGAAGUUGAUAAUGAAUAUAGCGGACAAGUAUAAUCAAGACAUCAAAUUUAUGUGUAUUGUUUGAUAAUUGAGGUGUGUUUUUGUAUAUUUACCGGUCGAUUAUAAGUAUUUAGCGUAAAUGAAAUUAAAAUGAAAGAAGUUUGUAAACUUGAACAUGAUUUUUGAGUUUGAUUUCGCCCUUUAUCGAUUCG